rnacentral:tRNA from 1 species
GCUGUAGCUCAGUGAUAGAGCACUUGCCUGGCAUGCAAGAGAUCCUGGCUUCCAUCCCUGCAGC